CUACGGGAGGCAGCAGUGGGGAAUAUUGCACAAUGGAGGAAACUCUGAUGCAGCAACGCCGCGUGGAGGAUGACACUUUUCGGAGCGUAAACUCCUUUUAUAUAGGAAGAAGAUGACGGUACUAUAUGAAUAAGCGCCGGCUAACUCCGUGCCAGCAGCCGCGGUAAUACGGAGGGCGCAAGCGUUACUCGGAAUCACUGGAGUAAAGAGCGUGUAGGCGGAUUAAAAAGUCAGAAGUGAAAUCCUAUAGCUUAACUAUAGAACUGCUUCUGAAACUCUUAAUCUAGAAUAUGGGAGAGGAAGAUGGCAUUGCGGGUGUAGGGGUAAAAUCUGAAGAGAACAGAAGGAAUACCGAUGGGGAGGGCGAUAUAAUAAAACUUUAUUGACGCUGAGAGGCGAAAGCGUGGGGAGAAAAAAGGAUUAGAUCCCCUAGUAGUC
rnacentral:rRNA from 1 species